rnacentral:lncRNA from 1 species
UAGUAAUGGUACCCGACAGUCGGAUACAUCGAAUGUGUAGAACAACAUCUUUAGAAUCCAUGCGGAUAUAGUUUUCAAAUAAUUCAUCCCCUUGACCAAAAUACUUAUAGGACACCUUAGACUUCAACUAUCAACUUUGAUCAGGUUGUCCACAUUGUAUUUCAAAAUAUCAAAUCCAUCUGAUGGAUUACCCUGGCCAAGGUUUUGCUAAAUUGAAAUACAGCAACUCAUUCUUCUCCAACUCUUGGAGUAGUCAAUCCCAUC